CGUAUCCUGCCCCACCGGUGGCACCCGUCAUAAAACAUAAGCAAAUAUAGUUAAUUGUUCACCUGAAAUAUGCAUGUAAAGUGCGUAUGUAAAGGUGUAAAGAUGUGAACGCAUGUCACUAUGUGUUGAGCAGUUAGAUAGAGACGUAUUUUGUUGUUUGGAUGUCUUCAUCAUAAUAAUAUGGUGAAGUAAUCAUCGUGAAGAAAUAAAGAGUAAUCCCUU